rnacentral:ncRNA from 1 species
GAAAUAGUGAUGGUUCUCUUACAUGAGAUGAAAAGGGAAUCCGGUGUAAUUCCGGAGCUGUACCCGCAACUGUAAUUCCAUUUGAACGCAUUCAUUAUGCAAAUGAAUAGUUCAUAUCAACCCUACGAGCAAAUCUUGCCACUGUUAGUUAGCUAACGGGAAGGCCUCGAGGUGGAAAAGUCAGGAGACCUGCCAUCAACGC